rnacentral:rRNA from 1 species
AGAGUUUGAUCAUGGCUCAGAUUGAACGCUGGCGGCAGGCCUAACACAUGCAAGUCGAGCGGUAGCACAGAGAGCUUGCUCUCGGGUGACGAGCGGCGGACGGGUGAGUAAUGUCUGGGAAACUGCCUGAUGGAGGGGGAUAACUACUGGAAACGGUAGCUAAUACCGCAUAAUGUCGCAAGACCAAAGUGGGGGACCUUCGGGCCUCAUGCCAUCAGAUGUGCCCAGAUGGGAUUAGCUAGUAGGUGGGGUAACGGCUCACCUAGGCGACGAUCCCUAGCUGGUCUGAGAGGAUGACCAGCCACACUGGAACUGAGACACGGUCCAGACUCCUACGGGAGGCAGCAGUGGGGAAUAUUGCACAAUGGGCGCAAGCCUGAUGCAGCCAUGCCGCGUGUGUGAAGAAGGCCUUCGGGUUGUAAAGCACUUUCAGCGGGGAGGAAGGCGUUAAGGUUAAUAACCUUGGCGAUUGACGUUACCCGCAGAAGAAGCACCGGCUAACUCCGUGCCAGCAGCCGCGGUAAUACGGAGGGUGCAAGCGUUAAUCGGAAUUACUGGGCGUAAAGCGCACGCAGGCGGUCUGUCAAGUCGGAUGUGAAAUCCCCGGGCUCAACCUGGGAACUGCAUUCGAAACUGGCAGGCUAGAGUCUUGUAGAGGGGGGUAGAAUUCCAGGUGUAGCGGUGAAAUGCGUAGAGAUCUGGAGGAAUACCGGUGGCGAAGGCGGCCCCCUGGACAAAGACUGACGCUCAGGUGCGAAAGCGUGGGGAGCAAACAGGAUUAGAUACCCUGGUAGUCCACGCCGUAAACGAUGUCGAUUUGGAGGUUGUGCCCUUGAGGCGUGGCUUCCGGAGCUAACGCGUUAAAUCGACCGCCUGGGGAGUACGGCCGCAAGGUUAAAACUCAAAUGAAUUGACGGGGGCCCGCACAAGCGGUGGAGCAUGUGGUUUAAUUCGAUGCAACGCGAAGAACCUUA